GGAAGGGUGCAAGCGUUGUUCGGUAAUUAUUGGGCGUAAAGCGCGUGUAGGCGGUUUCUUAAGUCUGAUGUGAAAGCCCCGGGCUCAACCUGGGAAGUGCAUUGGAAACUGGGGGACUUGAGUACGGGAGAGGGUAGUGGAAUUCCUAGUGUAGGAGUGAAAUCCGUAGAUAUUAGGAGGAACACCGGUGGCGAAGGCGGCUACCUGGACCGAUACUGACGCUGAGACGCGAAAGCGUGGGGAGC
rnacentral:rRNA from 1 species